rnacentral:rRNA from 1 species
UCUACGGGUGGCAGCAGUGAGGAAUAUUGGUCAAUGGGCGUAAGCCUGAACCAGCCAAGUCGCGUGAGGGCCGACGGCCCUACGGGUUGUAAACCUCUUUUGCCGGGGGGUAAACGGCGUCACGCGUGCCGUUCUGAGGGUACCCGGAGAAAAAGCAUCGGCUAAGUCCGUGCCAGCAGCCGCGGUAAUACGGAGGAUGCGAGCGUUAUCCGGAUUUAUUGGGGUUAAAGGGUGCGUAGGCGGGAGGCCAAGUAUGCGGUCAAAUGCGGGGGCUCAACCUGCGUCCGCCGUUGAAACUGGCGUGCUUGAGUGGGCGAGAAGUACGCGGAAUGCGUGGUGUAGCGGUGAAAUGCAUAGAUAUCACGCAGAACCCCGAUUGCGAAGGCAGCGUACCGGCGCCCGACUGACGCUAAAGCACGAAAGCGUGGGUAUCGAACAGGAUUAGAUACCCCGGUAGUC